AUCACUUCUUGGCCUUUUGGCUAAAAUCAAGUGUAGUAUCUGUUUCUUACCUAAUCCCAAGUAUCAAGUGAAAUCAAGAUUCAGUGGUGAUCAAGCAGAGAAAAAAUGAUUAUUAGACUGAGAAAAAGACUUGUAUUCCAGUAUUAUUUUUCUUAAACAUUUGUCAGUGCUGCUGUCUUGUGCUGCUGCUAAGUUGUUGGCCCAU
ensembl:snRNA U2 U2 spliceosomal RNA